rnacentral:lncRNA from 1 species
UUUCUCCACCUGUAAAGUGGACAGCCUCAUGCCCCUUCUGAGUCAGCAGCAGCCAACAGAAACGCCUUCCCCAGAGGUUCCCUCUCAUACUUAGUCUCCAUAUAUAUAGUUUUAAGAUAUAUCACACAUGUUCUAUAUAAUAGCUAAAAGCCAGACUCGCUGAGGAAAGUAGAAAUAGAAGUUAGCAUGCAAAUCCGGAGAUUUUCUAAUCAUGUGUGGUGAAUUUCAGUUGGAUUUCUUGACAGAAGACUGUUCAGCAGAGCUGGCUGCGUGGUGGAGACCUCACAGAUUUUCCGUCUCUCGCAGCUCAGAAGGCGGAGUCACAAAACGCUGUGCACACUCCCUUAGGUAACGUGAGUUUGAGCUAACGAAAGAUCCAGAAGGACCUUCUGACAUAUUUGUCACCCAAGAAUCAACAAACAGCUGGCCUCUAUUCAAUCUGGGUCAUCGGUCUCAAUACCAAAAGGCAAGUGUAAACUCAAGGCAGCCCCUAAUAAACGUUCCACAGUUCCCCAUAAUUCUCUUCUCUGAGUUUGCCCAUUCUCUCCUUUGUUUUCCCCAACCAUAGCUGGUUCCUUUACGGUGCCCUCAGUGCUCCUCUCUCCCCAUCUCCUGUGUUUCCCAGAACAGGCUACCCCUUGAUAGUGAUGUUCAGAGAACUUUCUCGUGCUUUGCCGGUUUUACAACCUCUACCUGCACAAUGAAUGUCAAAAAUCCCCCACCUCUACCGUUUUCUGCUAGCUCUGCAGUGGGGUUGAGGAGUGCAGUGACGGAAAGGAAGAAGAGCUUUCGACUCUUUGGACUAGAGUUAGAAUUUGUUUAAUUCUCAAAACUUCCCUGGGUCUACUUGACAAAUUUGCUUUACACUUUUUCAAUAUUUUUACUUUACUCCAUGUGAACUAAGAAUCCUGACUUUCAUCUU